rnacentral:tRNA from 1 species
CGCGGGGUGGAGCAGUCUGGUAGCUCGUCGGGCUCAUAACCCGAAGGUCGAAGGUUCAAAUCCUUCCCCCGCCA